rnacentral:rRNA from 1 species
GACGAACGCUGGCGGCGUGCCUAAUACAUGCAAGUCGAACGCAGUGGGGACGGGUGAGUAACCCGUGGGUAACCUCCCCUCAGAGGGGAUAACACUUGGAAACAGGUGCUAAACCGAUACUGAUGGAUGGACCCGCGGUGCAUUACCUAGUUGGUGAGGUAACGGCUCACCAAGGCCACGAGGCUUAGGAGACCUGAGAGGGUGCUCGGCCAAACUGGGACGGAGACACGGCCCAGAGUCCUACGGGAGUCAGCAGUAGGGAAGCGGCGGCAAUGGACGAAAGUCUGACCGAGCAUCGCCGCGUGAGUGAAGAAGGUUUUCGGAUCGUAAAACUCUGUUGUUAGAGAAGCGGUAUCUAACCAGAAAGCCACGGCUAACUACGUGCCAGCAGCCGCGGUAAUUC